rnacentral:rRNA from 1 species
AUUGAACGCUGGCGGCAGGCCUAACACAUGCAAGUCGAACGAGUGGUGGACGGGUGAGUAAUGUAUGGGAAACUGCCUGAUGGAGGGGGAUAACUACUGGAAACGGUAGCUAAUACCGCAUACCAUCGGAUGUGCCCAGAUGGGAUUAGCUAGUAGGUGGGGUAAAGGCUCACCUAGGCGACGAUCCCUAGCUGGUCUGAGAGGAUGACCAGCAACACUGGAACUGAGACACGGUCCAGACUCCUACGGGAGGCAGCAGUGGGGAAUCUUGCACAAUGGGCGCAAGCCUGAUGCAGCCAUGCCGCGUGUGUGAAGAAGGCCUUCGGGUUGUAAAGUACUGUCAGCGGGGAGGCGUUACCCUCAGAAGAAGCACCGGCUAACUCCGUGCCAGCAGCCGCGGUAAUUC